CUUGGUGGCUUCCAGAGUCAUCCCGCUGGCUCCUCCUGCAUGGCAAGUCCCAGUUAGCUGUACAGAAUCUGCAGAAGGUGGCUGCAAUGAACGGGAGGAAGGAGGAAGGGGAAAGGCUGACCAAGGAGGUGAUGAGCUCCUACAUCCAAAGCGAGUUUGCAAGUGUCUGCACCUCCAACUCAAUCUUGGACCUCUUCCGAACCCCGGCCAUCCGCAAGGUCACAUGCUGUCUCAUGGUGAUUUGGUAGGUGACAGGCUCAUGCCCAAGACUUUCACCUGAGGCAGGGGCAUGCUCUCUGCCCCCACUGAAAAACUCUGUUCUGAAAUACUCUUAAUGCAAUGAGCAGGUGAGCCGUGUGAACUCAAUCUCUUCCCACACCCUUUUUCCAGCACUCGGCCUCUGCUGGAUGCUGAGAUGUGGUGACAGAUGAGAUAUCAUGCUAACCCAGGAACCCCACUUCUGGGCAGUGGGUCUCACCUGGGUGGGAGGACUAUUGGAAUCACCAAGGCAGCUUU
ensembl:lncRNA novel transcript